UAACGAAUCUUCCGCAAUGGGCGCAAGCCUGACGGAGCAAUGCCGCGUGCGGGAUGAAGUACCUCUGGUAUGUAAACCGCUGUCGGGGGGUAGAACCAAUGAUCACCCCCAAAGGAAGUGGCGACUAACUCUGUGCCAGCAGUCGCGGUAAUACAGAGGCCACAAGCGUUAGUCGGAAUCACUGGGCUUAAAGGGUGCGUAGGCUGGCUCGUAAGUGUUCUGUGAAAGCCCCCGGCUCAACCGGGGAACAGCAGGGCAUACUGCGGGUCUUGAGGCAGGUAGGGGUCGCGAGAACAGUAGGUGGAGCGGUGAAAUGCGUAGAUAUCUACUGGAAUGCCGAUGGUGAAGACGCGCGACUGGGCCUAAUACUGACGCUGAGGUACGAAAGCAUGGGAGCAAACAGGAUUAGAUACCCCAGUAGUCCCUGAGCGGGCUGGCAAGGCGCAU
rnacentral:rRNA from 1 species